rnacentral:rRNA from 1 species
CAAUUAAUGUARGCCCCUYCSCCSUUGASGGUGUGGUUUGCUGGCAACAGCGUCCGCCCCAMGUAUUUUUUCACCCAUGUCUUUUGCGCAUUUUUUGUUUCCUGGGCGAGUUCGCUCGCCACCAGGACCCAACCAUAAACCUUUUUUUAUGCAGUUGCAAUCAGCGUCAGUAUAAUAAUUCAAUUUAUUAAAACUUUCAACAACGGAUCUCUUGGUUCUGGCAUCGAUGAAGAACGCAGCGAAAUGCGAUACGUAGUGUGAAUUGCAGAAUUCAGUGAAUCAUCGAAUCUUUGAACGCACAUUGCGCCCUUUGGUAUUCCAAAGGGCAUGCCUGUUCGAGCGUCAUUUGUACCCUCAAGCUUUGCUUGGUGUUGGGCGUCUUUUUGUCUCUCCCCUUGUUGGGGGAGACUCGCCUUAAAACGAUUGGCAGCCGACCUACUGGUUUUCGGAGCGCAGCACAAAUUUGCGCCUUCCAAUCCACGGGGCGGCAUCCAGCAAGCCUUUGUUUUCUAUGACAAAUCCACAUUUUGACCUCGGAUCAGGUAGGGAUACCCGCUGAACUUAAGCAUAUCAAUAAGCGGAGGA